AAAUUGAAGAGUUUGAUCAUGGCUCAGAUUGAACGCUGGCGGCAGGCCUAACACAUGCAAGUCGAACGGUAACAGGAAGAAGCUUGCUUCUUUGCUGACGAGUGGCGGACGGGUGAGUAAUGUCUGGGAAACUGCCUGAUGGAGGGGGAUAACUACUGGAAACGGUAGCUAAUACCGCAUAACGUCGCAAGACCAAAGAGGGGGACCUUCGGGCCUCUUGCCAUCGGAUGUGCCCAGAUGGGAUUAGCUAGUAGGUGGGGUAACGGCUCACCUAGGCGACGAUCCCUAGCUGGUCUGAGA
rnacentral:rRNA from 2 species